GGCUGGUCCAAAUGUAGUAAGUUAUCUCAAUUAAUAGGUCACACAGUAAGUCACAGAUGUCCUCCUUGUUCUACCCUUUCCCCGCUUUUCACUAUUGCAGUUGACUAGUCUUAA
ensembl:Y_RNA Y_RNA Y RNA